ACUUAAUAAGUAUAUUAUUAUUAGCUUGAAGUAAAAAUAAAUUUUAUUUUAAUAAUAGUUUAUUAGAUUGGGGCGAUUAAGAUAUAUAAAUUAUAAACUGUUUUUUAGUCUGAAUAAUUAUAAUUAAAUAUUGAUCCUAUAUUAAAGAUUAAAAGUUAAAGUU
rnacentral:rRNA from 1 species